rnacentral:rRNA from 1 species
ACGACGCUGGCGGCGUGCCUAAUACAUGCAAGUAGUACGCUGAAGAGAGGAGCUUGCUCUUCUUGGAUGAGUUGCGAACGGGUGAGUAACGCGUAGGUAACCUGCCUUGUAGCGGGGGAUAACUAUUGGAAACGAUAGCUAAUACCGCAUAACAAUGGAUGACACAUGUCAUUUAUUUGAAAGGGGCAAUUGCUCCACUACAAGAUGGACCUGCGUUGUAUUAGCUAGUAGGUGAGGUAACGGCUCACCUAGGCGACGAUACAUAGCCGACCUGAGAGGGUGAUCGGCCACACUGGGACUGAGACACGGCCCAGACUCCUACGGGAGGCAGCAGUAGGGAAUCUUCGGCAAUGGGGGCAACCCUGACCGAGCAACGCCGCGUGAGUGAAGAAGGUUUUCGGAUCGUAAGCUCUGUUGUAUAGUUCAAGAACGAGUGUGACGAGUGGAAAGUUCACACUGUGACGGUAGCU